rnacentral:lncRNA from 1 species
UUUUUUUAAACCCAGUUAUUUAACAAGUUGAACUAAAUGUAUCUUUAUUUAGAAUUCCAUUUUGCAGUCACCAAUUAAUACACUAAGUGUUCCAAUGUCAUUAAAAUAAAGGUUAGAGGGAAUAGUUUUUGCACCUGUAUAGCUUGCAAAAUGUUACACACCGUUACAAAGUGGAAUUGUCAGUCCACAAUUUUUCACAGCACUUUUGGAAACAGACUGGUUAUUUUGGUAACAUUUGAUGCCACUCCAGACAUUUUCACCAUGAGCACUUGAAGGUACGAGAAGGUGGGGAAAUCUCCCCCAAUUACAACAGGUUACCAGCAAACAGAUUUAUCCAUCACUGAACUGUUUAGUGCUGCCUAACAGAGGAUAUAACCCUGAUGGGGGCAAGAAAUUCCAAGAAGUGGUAGCAUGGUAGAUUCUUACAUUUUUAGAGCUUAGAACUCCUUAGAUCGCCUCUUAAUUAUAGCAGAAUGGAAACAAGUCAAUGUAAUCUCGGAAUAUAUGUAUGAUUUUAUGGUCAGAUUUGUAUUCUAUUGCUACACUUAAAGGACUGUUUAAGGAUCUAUAAAUGCAACACAAAACAAGACUGUUUCCAACACUGGUAUUUGGCAUAUACCCGGCAAUCCCUCUCAAGAAAGUUACUAGUUAAACCCCUUUGCCAACAUCACAAGUUGGAAGAGCCAAGCUAAACACCUAUAAAUGUUUGUUACAUUGUAUUACGCUGCAUAUAAAGAUGUUGCAAAGCAUUUUGUUUUGGGCAGAGAAACACAAGCAUUAGCGAUAAACUUACUAUAAAUGAAAAUAAACACUGAUUAACGUGCAAAAAUACCUUUCUGCAAUUAACUAUGUCCCUGUAACAUCUAAACACUGUAUAGUCUUCAAAAAUUGCACAUUUUGUUUAUUGCUUUGAUUUACAUCACUUUUACACAAACCUGUCAUUAGUAAAGAUAUGGCUUUAUAACUUGUAUGUACAGUAUUUAUGUUCUUGUAUGACAUCCUAUGAUUUUUACCUCUGUAGUUUGUACUCUUAAGAUACUUUAAAUAAUUGAGGGUACUUUCCAAGUUGCCUGCAUCUCAUACAUGCUUGCAGUACAGUUUCUAGACAUGUUACAUAUUCUAAUUCUUCAAUAAGGAACGGUCCAUCAGGGAGUGUGUAAACAAACCCCAAACAUAAUUGAACCCAAAAAAAAAUAUAUAAAAGAAAAUAUAAGCAGCCUAGUCUAUUGGUUACAUCAAUCAAGUGGUAAGGUUGAGUUAGCCAUUUUAUCAAAUUGACAUGUAAACUGCACAAGCAUAGCAAUAUGGAAGGAAUAGCAGAGGUCAAUAUGGCAGAUUCCCGAGAAACACUGGGUGAUCACACCAUCCACACUAGUGCUAUGGUUUAUGGAGAGAACCAUUUAAUGGGAUUCAGAGGCAGAGGAGGUACGUUUUACUAGGUGAUGGAAUGUGGAACGGUCAUAAUCAGAGAAGUGACAGUGCAGUUUUAUUAAUUAUGUGUUCCCACUAAUGGAAAUGAGAGAAAUAUAUUAGUAUUUUCUUUUUAGUGGUAUGAAAGAACCAUUUAAAUAAUAAACCUCAAGGUAUUCGCCACAAAUCACAUGAUCCUUUACCAGGCAAAGUUACUGCAAAGCCAAAAUCAGUUCUAAACCAUUUCCACUGUAACAGGCCUAAUUUUAACACUUAUCUAAGGAUACGGUAUGAUAUGUCAAAGUUUAAAGGCAUGACCUUAAUAUAACAGCUGUAUUUUCUAUUCAGAAAACAGAUUGCAUUUCUAAUCAGUGGCAUGAAUGUUAAAACACUGAGGGCACCCAGACCACUUGAGAAUAUUGCCGUUUAUGAGAGUUAACACACCUCAAUUGGCAGUCUUCCUGACCACUACAAAAGGUGCUUCCACUUCUACAACAGAGUUCAACUCUGUUAUAGAUCAAAUUCAAAGAUCAAAUAAUUGGCAGCUUUUGAUUGGCACAGCACAGAGUUUUGAUGUUCAUGCACACUAGCCUCCAAAUGGCUUUCUAUAGGGAAGCACUGGAUUGGCUGAGAUCAUUGAUCUUCAUGAUCUCAGCCAGAGAAUUGGGGCAG